rnacentral:lncRNA from 1 species
UUUAGAUGGUCACUUAUGCCUGAAUUCUCAUUCUCAUGUAUUGAGUUUCUGUAAAGAAGGUCCUAUUGUACUGUUAUCUUUUCAGGGAUGCUCUGGAGCCAGCUCAUACCUGCUUACAAGAAGCAAAUGUUAAAUUUUCAAUCAAGCUUUUAUUCAGCCUUUUCUUGAGGAGGACAUCUAAUGAAGAGAGUGUUACCUCCUUCUGGUGAAGUCCAUUCAACUUUUGGAUGACUUUAAUGUUAAUCCCUAAGCCUGGAAUGAGGCAGCUAGGUGGCAGUGGAGAUAGCAUUUAUCCUGGAAUCAUGAAGAGGAUACUGGCAUGUCAGAGAACUUUUUCUAUCUAUUCUUCAUUGACAAAAGAGAGAUGACUCCUGCUGGCAGCAUGCUAAGCGUUCCAACAUCUUGGUGUGGUGGCUGCUAUUGUCUGGGUUUGGUGAAAUUACUGAAUAAGAUUGCUGGUAACUUUCAAUUGGAAUGAUUGGCUC